CUCUCCCUCUCUCGGUCUCUUCGACUUCUCCUUCUCUUCUCCGUCUGUGACUGCAGGUCCGCGGCCACGGGCCACUUCAGCCUUCAGCCUUCAAGGUCAGCUGGUUUCUCCACUUUCAGCCCAAGGUUCCUGCCUGUGCUCUCCGCUUCAGCCUUCUGGCCCUUCUCCCUUCAACUUUCAGCCCAAGACACUUCUCCCUCUCCGUCUCCUCGGACACAUCCGAACGCCUCUCCCUGGUUCGCACGAAGAACCAGAUACGCUUGUUGCGUUCUGCUCAUCUCUUUUGCAGCGUGAGUAUUACAUCUUUGUUUACGUGGAUGCACCAAGUUACCAGAUAUUGAAAAAAUUGAAAAUUAUUAGUACUGGUGUGCUGUACCGAAUCAUUCUUAAGAAGAAAUUAAGUGAGAUUCAGUGGGCUGUUUUUGUUCUUCUAUGUGUUGGAGUCACAACUGCACAACUCAAUUCCUCCAGCAUCCUUUGAUUUCUUGGCAACAUAAUUGUUUGCAUUAUUCGUAUGGCCAUGCGCAUAAGUUGGUUUUCUAACAAUCUCACAGCUGAGGAUGACAAAAACGACCUCAAGAUUCAUGGCCCACCCUCAGAAAGUUUGGGGCCUCCCAGAGGAG